UCCCUCAGAAAUGGUAGUGUGCAAGCGGGGCUAGUGAUGUCUCGGUUUAAGGUGAGCUUCGUGCUCUGUCACUAAACACGUUGCAUAGUGAACCCCUUGAGCCCAACCUGCAAAAUGAGGGCUUCACAUUUUCCCAUAGCUUUCUCACUGGGGUUUGGAUUCUGAAUGCCAGGGACAGAGUAAAAGAGCAAUUUGUGUUGGUCACUGUCACAUGCACUUAACACUUGGGUUCCUCAGGGAGGACUCAGAGAUUAAGGCAAAUCCCCCUCAAGCCCUUUUUGCUAUGUGGUGUGAACUGGCAUACCUGCAAUGAUGUUGUCCAGGAGAGUGGUGGGCAUGCAGAAGAUUCCCACCAGUAAAUCGCUGACAGCCAGGUUUAAGAUGAAAAGAUUUGUGACUGUACGCAUGUGUUUGCUCCUCAGAACAAUAUAGCAAACCACUCCGUUGCCAACCAUACAAAGCAGGAAGAUUAAGAGGUAUGAGACGAUGAAGACAGCUGCCACUGAAGGUUGAUGAAGGUAGAAGUCCACGUAGGAGACGUUGCCUUCGAAGUAGAGAAGUAGUGCUUUAAGGAAGAUAUUCCAGUUUGGGGAAGCUUGCGUUUGCCUCACAUUGUGUUCCCAGUCCUCAUGACAGACAGGACCUGUGCUGUCAUGAGGCAGCACUACCAAUGAGAAUCCUCUGGGGGCUUAGAAGAGGAAACAAUGAUAAGGAAACUUUGAAAAACUUAAAGACAGACAUUAGGGAAAAAGAAAAUGUACUGUGGAAGAAGUCCUCAACAGCCGGAGAUCAAGUUCCAGCCUGAGGUUCAUGAAGCAUGCAACAGGCAGAAGUGCAGAAACUUCCCAAUAAAACACAGCAUCUGGAUUUGCCAAGUUAAAUGCCACAAGCAAAAGUGUCUUUGUCAAGAAAAGAUUUCAUUAUGGAGUACAGUUAACUUCUUGGAACUUGUUACAAAGUAUGUUUUAACUUGAUAUUGCACUUAAUGUCAUUUUCCACUACAAGCAGAAAUGCUUAGUCUGUACUAAUUCAUAAAUACCCUUAGAGUUUGUACGUAGCAAUUCCAAAUAGAGUACUUUGGAAGUUAACAUUUCCUUUACCUUUUCAUACAUCUUAGUUUCAUGGUCAUUUGUACAAAAUACCUAUGAUUUUCUUAUCUCAAAUUAAAUACUGAGUAUGUCACAAGGAAAGGGCAGGCUUUCAGCUAAGAAAAAAGCUAUGAUAGAAAAGACUAAAACCAUCAAGUUGAAACAGAAAAUUGAUUCUUACUGCCAUAUAUGUCCAGGAACCAAAAGUAUGAGAAAUUUUUUUCUCGUUGCAUAAGUGGACAAUUCCUGGGAGACAUACCAAGCUUGAGAUUCCAUGCAGAGCUCUAAUGAAUGGGCUUGAACUGUCUGUCUUCUAACAGUCAUCUGGGAAAUCUGAGUUGGGACCAAAGGAAAUAUUUUGUCAGAUUUAUUGGGUUGGUUGUUUUUUUCCUUAUUGUUGUUUUUCAUCUUACUUUUCCUGCCCUAAUUACAAAGGGCAAUGCUAUCAGUAGGAGUGCUGUAAUAGACAAAACAACUUAACUGUCAAUUACUCAUCCACUUAGGCAAGGAUUAUAAAACCCUUUGCCAAAAAGCCAGAUUCAAAUGUAAAUCAAAGGAUGGUAUAGCAGGUGAGGCAUUCACAGCAAGUUUGUUGUGUGUCUUGAGCACAUCAAAUUUUCACUUUGCUUCAUAUUUCUAGCAUUCAAAUAUUGCACAGCUUAAAUCAAAUAACAUUUUUAUUGCCACACUGAAUGAAGAAUAUGAAUGCUGAAAAUUUACAAUAGGAAAGCCUCGCUCUAACCAACCAUUUUCUGCCUUUUGCUAUUAGGUGACCUUAAGGCACCCAUGUGCAUUCUCUUUAAACGUGACUUCUACCACUUUGCCCAGAAAGAUUCCAGAUGUGAAGUUCCCAGUUAGAGUAUAGGUCAAACCUGGGAUAAAAGCUGGUCAGUUAACUUGUUUGGCUUUUUUAUCCAUCAUGAAGCUGCAUGCCAUGCCACACAGGAGACAACAGGGACUAAUAGGAUAAACACAGAUACAGUGACAGGGCUUUUGUGUUAGCUGAUAGGGUUCUUGGUUACACAGUAAAGUGUGAUUACUUAAUGCUUUGAUAGCAAAGGCACACAAAGUGUUUUAUGUGUACAUGUUAUAUUUGAUGGCUGUACAUUACCAUACGUGAAUUGAUAGACAAGUAGAGUUUAG